GCACCAUGUGGCCUUCAUGACUUUUGUGA
rnacentral:sRNA from 1 species